AUUGAACGCUGGCGGCAGGCCUAACACAUGCAAGUCGAACGAGUGGCGGACGGGUGAGUAAUGUCUGGGAAACUGCCUGAUGGAGGGGGAUAACUACUGGAAAAGGUAGCUAAUACCGCAUACCAUCAGAUGUGCCCAGAUGGGAUUAGAUUGUAGGUGGGGUAACGGCGCACCAAGGCGACGAUCCCUAGCUGGUCUGAUAGGAUGAACUGCCACACUGGGACUGAGACACGGUCCAGACUCCUACUGGAGGCAGCAGUGGGGAAUAUUGAAGUAGGGGCGCAAGCCUGAUGCAGCCAUGCCGCGUGUAUGAAGAAGGCCUUAGGUUUGUAAAGUACUUUCAGCGGGGAGGCGUUACCCGCAGAAGAAGCACCGGCUAACUCCGUGCGAGCAGCCGCGGUAAUUC
rnacentral:rRNA from 1 species